rnacentral:rRNA from 1 species
CCUACGGGAGGCAGCAGUGGGGAAUAUUGCGCAAUGGGCGAAAGCCUGACGCAGCGACGCCGCGUGAGGGAUGAAGGUCUUCGGAUCGUAAACCUCUGUCAGCAGGGAAGAACGGUCACUGUGCUAAUCAGCAGUGAAUUGACGGUACCUGCAAAGGAAGCACCGGCUAACUCCGUGCCAGCAGCCGCGGUAAUACGGAGGGUGAGAGCGUUAAUCGGAAUUACUGGGCGUAAAGCGGUCGUAGGCGGUAUGUCAAGUCAAGGGUGAAAUCCCCGCGCUCAACGUGGGAACUGCCUUUGAAACUGGCAGACUGGAGUGGGUGAGAGGAUAGUGGAAUUCCAGGUGUAGGAGUGAAAUCCGUAGAUAUCUGGAGGAACAUCAGUGGCGAAGGCGACUAUCUGGCACAUAACUGACGCUGAGGAGCGAAAGCGUGGGUAGCAAACAGGAUUAGAUACCCGAGUAGUC